rnacentral:rRNA from 1 species
ACAUCAGUGGGUGCAGGGUGUGUGGGUAAUAUGUAGGUGGCACGCGUUGGUGGGAUGUAGUUGGUGUAGAGGGUGUGUUGGCGGUUGGUUAAGGGUUGUGUGAAAGCUCCAUGCUCAACUUGGAGGGUGCGCCGAAGACUGGAUGACUGGAGUGCGUGAGAGGAGAGUGGAAUUCCUGGUGUAGCGGUGAAAUGCGUAGAUAUCAGGAGGAACACCGGUGGUGUAGACGGCUCUCUGGACCGUAACUGACGCUGAGACACGAAAGCGUGGGUAGCAAACAGGAUUAGAUACCCCUGUAGUC